rnacentral:pre_miRNA from 1 species
AGUGGAACUUCUGGGUCAUGUGGUAGUUCUGUUUAAAGUUUUGAGGAACUGCCAAAGUCUUCCACAGUGAGUGUACAUCUUACAUUUCCACCAGCAGU